UACAGAGGUCCCAAGCGUUGUUCGGAUUCACUGGGCGUAAAGGGUGCGUAGGCGGUCGGAUAAGUCUGACGUGAAAUCCUGGAGCUUAACUCCGGAACUGCGUCGGAAACUAUUUGGCUAGAGGAUUGGAGGGGGGACUGGAAUUCUCGGUGUAGCAGUGAAAUGCGUAGAUAUCGAGAGGAACACCCGUGGCGAAGGCGAGUCCCUGGACAAUUCCUGACGCUGAGGCACGAAAGCUAGGGGAGCAAACAGG
rnacentral:rRNA from 1 species